rnacentral:rRNA from 1 species
ACAGCUGGCGGCGUGCUUAUACAUGCAAGUCGAACGGUGACGAUCAAGUUUGCUUGGUCUGAUCAGUGGCGAACGGGUGAGUAACACGUGAGUAACCUGCCCCAGNACUCUGGGAUAACCCCGGGAAACCGGAGCUAAUACCGGAUAUGACACCAAUCCGCAUGGGUAUGGUGUGGAAAGUUUUUCGGUCUGGGAUGGACUCGCGGCCUAUCAGCUUGUUGGUGAGGUAGUGGCUCACCAAGGCGACGACGGGUAGCCGGCCUGAGAGGGCGACCGGCCACACUGGGAUUGAGACACGGCCCAGACUCCUACGGGAGGCAGCAGUGGGGAAUAUUGCACAAUGGGCGGAAGCCUGAUGCAGCGACGCCGCGUGAGGGAUGACGGCCUUCGGGUUGUAAACCUCUUUCAGCAGGGAAGAAGCGAAAGUGACGGUACCUGCAGAAGAAGCACCGGCUAACUACGUGCCAGCAGCCGCGGUAAUACGUAGGGUGCGAGCGUUGUCCGGAAUUAUUGGGCGUAAAGAGCUUGUAGGUGGUUUGUCGCGUCUGCUGUGAAAAUCCGAGGCUCAACCUCGGACUUGCAGUGGGUACGGGCAGACUAGAGUGUGGUAGGGGAGACUGGAAUUCCUGGUGUAGCGGUGGAAUGCGCAGAUAUCAGGAGGAACACCGAUGGCGAAGGCAGGUCUCUGGGCCAUUACUGACACUGAGAAGCGAAAGCAUGGGGAGCGAACAGGAUUAGAUACCCUGGU